rnacentral:rRNA from 1 species
AUGGCGGGGGGAUGCGGCGGCGAAGGCACGCUGGCGAGGUGGCGGCGGGCGGCGGCCAAGCGGAUCGGCCUCUCCUGCGCCUCCUUCUUCUCCUCCCAUGCCGCCUCUCCCUCCCCGCCGCCUCCCAAGACCAUCUCAUGUUCAGCAGUGAAUGCGCCCGCAGGCAGCAGUGAUGGAGAACAGGAAAAGCUGGAGGAGCCGACCAGCACUAGAAUGGCUGACAAGAACUUCUGUGCAAUAUGUUUGGAGGCCCUCAGCACCAGCAGCAGUGGCAUUGACAACUGUGACAGGCCAGCGAUAUUCACAGCCCAGUGCUCCCACUCUUUCCACUUCUUGUGCAUUGCCUCCAACAUCAGACAUGGCAAUGUUACAUGCCCGAUCUGCCGUGCGCAGUGGUCUCAGCUGCCACGUGACCUGAAGGUGCCGCCAUUGCUGCACAACCAGUCUGAUCCAAUCCUUCGCAUCCUUGAUGACAACAUUGCGACAUCCCGUGUCAACCGAAGGUCCUCCAUCCGUGCUACCCGCUACAACGAUGAUGACCCUGUUGAGCCUUACACUCUGACUGAGCAUGUCGAUCCAUGCCUGCGCUUCGCCCUUAUCCCGUCUCCGGUGGCAGCUCACCAUCAUGCCCUCGGACACUACCCUUGUGGACGCAUGAUGCCACCACAGCAGCACAGCCAGUACAGCUACAGCGGCUCCUCCAUGGUUUCACCACCGCAGAUUGCUUCACCAAGUGUGCAAAGGCGUGCUUACCUCUCAGUCAGCCUAGCACCACAGCCAGCCAUGGACUUGGUCUUGGUUGCCAGCCCUAAUGGGCCACACCUGAGGCUGUUGAAGCAGGCAGUGGCACUGGUUGUCUUCUCCAUGCGCGCAAUUGACCGGUUGGCCAUUGUCACAAAUGCCACCACUGCAACUCGUGCCUUCCCCUUGCGUCGGAUGUCCUCCCAUGGUAAACGAAUGGCAUUGCAGGUCAUCGAACACCUCUGCUCUGUUGGUGGAAUUGAUCCAGUAGGGGCUUUGCAGAAGGGUCUGAAGAUACUAGAGGACCGGGCACACCAGAACCCAAGCAACUGCAUUCUUCACCUCUCUGAUCAUCCAAUACGCAGCUAUGCUGGGGUAGACAUGAACCGUGCGAGCAUCCCGGUUCACCAGUUCCAUGUCGGGCUCGGCUUCGGGGUGCAGAACAGCUUCGUGAUGCAUGAAUUUGAGGAGCUACUUGCACGGUUGCUCGGCGGUGUCAUAGGCGACACCCACCUGAGGAUAGGGGAGCAUGGUGGAGUGGUGAGGCUAGGGGAGCUGAGGGGUGGUGAGGAGAGGAGGAUCCCGCUUGACCUUGUGGCAGACUGUGGCUUCAUACUGGUUGGUUACAGCUACCUGGAGGGCGGAAGAGAGGACCGUUCAAGGACGGGUGAGGUCGCUGUCGGCUUUGAGGAGAAGAGCGACAGCAGGUACUGCGGGGGCCGUGACAUGGGGACGAGCAUCGGCGGCGAGAGGAGGAGCAGCUGCUGCGCCGAGAGCUGGGAUCACCUUGACCCGUUCAUGGCGCGGCGAUGGGCGAAGCAUUUCAACGUGUACAGAUCCUGA